rnacentral:lncRNA from 1 species
UAGCCCAUCAACCUUACCUUCAUCUUCAGAUACUUGCAAAAUAGAUCUCGGAUUCAGGUAUGGCUCUAUGAGCAAGUGAAUAUGCUGAUAGAGGGCCGUGUCAUUGGUUUUGACGAGUCUGUGAACCUCAUAUCAGAUGAUGCAGAAGCGAUUCAUUGUGAAACAAAGCCAAGAAAACCCCUGGGCCAGAUCGUGCUAAAGGAGAUCAUAUUCUGCCACAAAAUGUCUCUAACCAGAA